AGAGUUUGAUCCUGGCUCAGAACGAACGCUGGCGGCAGGCCUAACACAUGCAAGUCGAACGGAUCCUUCGGGAUUAGUGGCAGACGGGUGAGUAACGCGUGGGAAGCUACCUUGUGGUAGGGAACAACAGUUGGAAACGACUGCUAAUACCCUAUGAGCCCUAUGGGGGAAAGAUUUAUCGCCAUGAGAUGUGCCCGCGUUAGAUUAGCUAGUUGGUAAGGUAAUGGCUUACCAAGGCGACGAUCUAUAGCUGGUCUGAGAGGAUGAUCAGCCACACUGGGACUGAGACACGGCCCAGACUCCUACGGGAGGCAGCAGUGGGGAAUAUUGGACAAUGGGGGCAACCCUGAUCCAGUCAUGCCACGUGUGUGAUGACGGCCUUAGGGUUGUAAAGCACUU
rnacentral:rRNA from 1 species